GGCUUGAAGAUGUAUAAUUUUAAGUCGAUCUGCCCAAUGAUAAAAUAUUUAAUGGCUGCAGUAUAUCUGACUGUACAAAGGUAGCAUAAUCGAUUGUUUUUUAAUUGGAAACUGGUAUGAAAGAAUUAAUGAGAUAUAUACUGUCUCAUAUAUAUUUUGUAAAAUUAAAUUUUUAGUAAAAAUGCUUAAAUAUUUUUAUGGGACGAUAAGACCCUAUAGAAUUUUAUAUUAAUUUUUAGAUUAUAUUAAAUGGUAUUAUAUUAAUUAAUAUUUAGUUGGGAGGAUUGGUAAAUUUAAUGAACUUUAUUUUGUAUUUUAACUUUGAUUUGAGGAUUAUUAAUGUUCUUGUAUUAUAAAUUAUAAGAAUAAAUUACCUUAGGGAUAACAGCGUAAUAUCUUUGGAGAGUUCAAAUUAAUAAAGGUGAUUGCGACCUCGAUGUUGGAUUAAGAUAAAUUUUAAAUGCAGAAGUUUAAUGAUUAAGUCUGUUCGACUUUUAAAAUCUU
rnacentral:rRNA from 1 species